GGAUUGUGGCUCAGCGGUAGAGUGCUCGCCUAGCACGGGCGGGACCCGGGUUCGAUUCUCAGCACCA
rnacentral:tRNA from 1 species